rnacentral:rRNA from 1 species
GUGGGGAAUAUUGGACAAUGGGCGAAAGCCUGAUCCAGCCAUGCCGCGUGUGUGAAGAAGGUCUUCGGAUUGUAAAGCACUUUAAGUUGGGAGGAAGGGCAGUAAGUUAAUACCUUGCUGUUUUGACGUUACCGACAGAAUAAGCACCGGCUAACUUAGUGCCAGCACCCGCGGUAAUACGAAGGGUGCAAGCGUUAUUCGGAAUUACUGGGCGUACAGCGCGCGUAGGUGGUUUUGUAAGUUGGAGGUGAAAUCCCCGGGCUCAACCUGGGAACUGCCUCCAAAACUGCAUGACUAGAGUACGGUAGAGGGUAGUGGAAUUUCCUGUGUAGCGGUGAAAUGCGUAGAUAUAGGAAGGAACACCAGUGGCGAAGGCGACUACCUGGACUGAUACUGACACUGAGGUGCGAAAGCGUGGGGAGCAAACAGGAUUAGAAACCCCGGUAGUCC